rnacentral:tRNA from 2 species
GACCCCUUAGCUCAGUGGUAGAGUGUGUGAUUCCAGCGAUGGUACUUCCACAAAGUCAUCCGUUCAAAUCGGGUAGGGGUCA